rnacentral:rRNA from 1 species
UACGUAGGUGGCGAGCGUUGUCCGGAUUUACUGGGUGUAAAGGGCGCGUAGGCGGGAUUGCAAGUCAGGCGUGAAAUACCGGGGCUUAACCUCGGGGCUGCGCUUGAAACUGUGAUUCUUGAGUGCCGGAGAGGCAGGCGGAAUUCCUAGUGUAGCGGUGAAAUGCGUAGAUAUUAGGAGGAACACCAGUGGCGAAGGCGGCCUGCUGGACGGUAACUGACGCUGAGGCGCGAAAGCGUGGGGAGCAACCAGG